GACGAACGCUGGCGGCGUGCUUAACACAUGCAAGUCGAGCGGUAAGGCCCUUUCGGGGGUACACGAGCGGCGAACGGGUGAGUAACACGUGGGUGACCCGCCCUCAGCUCUGGGAUAAGCCUGGGAAACCGGGUCUAAUACCGGAUAUGACUCCAUGACGCAUGUUGUGGGGUGGAAAGCCUUGUGCGGCUGAGGAUGGGCCCGCGGCCUAUCAGCUUGUUGGUGGGGUGANGGCCUACCAAGGCGACGACGGGUAGCCGGCCUGAGAGGGCGACCGGCCACACUGGGACUGAGACACGGCCCAGACUCCUACGGGAGGCAGCAGUGGGGAAUCUUGCGCAAUGGGCGAAAGCCUGACGCAGCGACGCCGCGUGAGGGAUGACGGCC
rnacentral:rRNA from 1 species